rnacentral:lncRNA from 1 species
UUAGGCCACUUCCUCACAGAUUCUUUCAGUAUCAUAAGAAUUCUUCUUGUUGUUUAUCAGUAAUAAAAAAGUUCCAGAAAUACCACCUUGAACAGAGCAAGUCAUGCGGAUGUUGGAUCUGAUGCACAGGCGAUACUGGCAGAUGUAAUUGAGCAAGGUUCAAGACAAUGACACUCUGGUGCAAGUCAUAAUCAUAUCCAGAUUUGGUUUGCAUAGGUGACUGAGAUCACCUCAGCCUCAUCUCAGGAAGUGGCCACCUUUGGAGAGUCUGAAUAUCAUGGUGGGCACGGAACUCUACCAUGUCACUAGAUGAAUGACCUCGGAUGUCACUUCAACUCUGAGCUUUAGAGCUUGUCGACUGCAAAGUGGGGCACUUCACUGAGCUACUUCACUGAAUUGUGAAAAUUAAGAAAAUUGAGCAAAUAUGGGCGAAGGAUUUGGCCCAUAGUAAACACUAUGACUGUCCGUCUUCUACCAUCUUUCAGUAGAUCCAGUGGAAUUAUGUGGAGGUUGAUAGGCACUGAAACCAAGAAUAUAUGAGCAUCUAUUCUGUGCAAGAUGUGUGCACUGAACUCAAUCCAGGACUGAAGGGGACAGGAGGAAGACAGGAAAAGAAAAGGACCUUUGUGGAAAGACCUGUCAAUGCUGAAACAGGCCAAAGCAAUGAGUUGAAUAUCCAAAUAAAAAUCUGCCACUAAAUCCCUUUAUUUGUCAUUGCUCUGACACUCUAUGCACCAUGACAAACUUCAUCUCAGCAGUGACUUCUAUGGUCUCUGAGUUCACCUGGACUAAGCACAGACUUUGGUUUUAGGCAAAAAUAGGCAUAAUUUCUAGUCCCACCUUCAUCACUUAUUUGCUAUGUGACCUUAAUCAAGGUAUUUUUCUCUAAGCUUUGGCUUCUUACUCUAUAAACUAGGUAUUAAGGACGUGUAUGUCUUAAGGCUGUUGAAAGGAUUGGAGUUAAGAUGAUGUCUGUAAAACACUUUAGCAGAGUUUACGUAGUAACUGGUAAUUAUGAUAGUGGUGAUGGUAGUCAUGAUGAUGAUAAUAAUGCUAUAACUUGAUGCAAAUAGUUUGCCAUAAGAUAAAAGAAAGAGGAUUAAAAGAUAAGACAUUUAAAAUAGUUGCAUUCGCAUGGUGAGUAUUAAAAAAUAUUGUUGGGCUGGGCGCCGUGGCUCACACCUAUAAUCCCAGCACUUUGGGAGGCCGAGGCGGGUGGGUCACCUGAGGUCAGCAGCUCAAGACCAGCCUCCUCAACAUGGUGAAACCCCAUCUCUACUAAAAGUACAAAAAUUAGCUGGGCAAGAUGGCGCGGACCUGUAGUCCCAGCUACUCAGGAGGUGAGGCAGGAGAAUCACUUGAACCCAGGAGGCAGAGGUUGCAGUGAGCCAAGAUCGUGCCAUUGCACUCCAGCCUGGGCGAUGAGCGAAACUCCAUCUCAAAAAAAAGUUUGGUUGAAAUGGUGCAAUGCACCUAGCAGGAACUCAAGGAGAAUUUGCUCGAUAAGCAGGAGGGAGGAUUUCCCUUGUAUGUAGAUAAUGAAAACACAGUCCUGAUAUUUAAGUCUGGCUGUUUGAAGGAUUUGGAAGCAAUGCUUCUCUGUUGGAGAUGUGUUUCGCUCUUAGUAAAAUAAGGGUCCAAGGAGUUAUUUUCGUUUGUCCUUUGGGAAAUAUUUUAAACCCUAGAUUUUACCACACAAAUUAGCUCUUCCUCAGGCUUUGUGUUUCAAACACAAACAAAACAAAGUCUCUUUAAUUUUCAACAUUUGUAUCCUUUUCAACUAAAGUACAAUAAUAGAAUUAUUGUAAAAGUCUAUUUGUUACCUAAAGCUAUGUCAAUAAAGUGACAUACAUUUCUAAGCCUUGAAGAAUCUUCUUGUUGAGUUAAUCUUUCUUUGGGGAAGGAAGAACAGCUAAAGGAACUGGUCAAGUGUGGUAAAAGUGCUAUGUUUUCUUAAAACAGGGGACUUUAAAAA